UCAGUAUUAUGGGAUGUAUCCUAGUGCGACCAUCAGUAUUAUGGGAUGUAUCCUAGUGUGAUCAUCAGUAUUAUGGGAUGUAUCCUAGUGUGAUCAUCAGUAUUAUGGGAUGUAUCCUGGUGUGAUCAUCAGUAUUAUGGGAUGUAUCCUGUUGAUCAUCAGUAUUAUGGGAUGUAUCCUAGUGUGAUCAUCAGUAUUAUGGGAUGUAUCCUUGUGAUCAUCAGUAUUAUGGGAUGUAUCCUAGUGUGAUCAUCAGUAUUAUGGGAUGUAUCCUGGUGUGAUCAUCAGUAUUAUGGGAUGUAUCCUUCUGUGAUCAUCAGUAUUAUGGGAUGUAUCCUGGUGA